rnacentral:lncRNA from 1 species
GGCUUAGUGCUAUACUGGGCUGAUGCUUUCAAGGAAAUCCCACUGUCAGGAAGCAGUGUCCCCUCUAAAUAUGCAUACGGACUGCCACCUACCGUGCAAGAGGGCUAGACAGAGGUUCUUCAGUCUCUGAGAAGUUUGCUGCCCAAGGGUCCAGAAUGAAGAGAGUGGGCCGCCGUAGCAGAGGGAAUCAGAGAGACAGGGGUUGGCCUGAGACGUGUGUUUUGCCUCUGCAGAUGGUCACAGUUGGGAUUGGUAUGAUGAGGUGUGUUAGAGGAAGAGCGGUGCUUUUAGAGAGAGGAUGUCUUGGCCUUUGGGUGACUUGGUCCAACAUACUGUGGGAUUUUGGGCCCCUGCCAGGUCUGGCCAGAAAAGUCCUGCUGCUUUUACAGUGAGUUUGGUGCUGGCAGCAUCCCAGGAUAGGGGUGCAUCAUGGGCAAGGGGUGUGUUUUCUCCUGGAAAAAACAGGAAGGAAACGAAGGGCAGCCAAAGGCUUCAGACCAUCAGAGGUUCCCUGUUGAUUACUGCGGACACUGUCCUGGAUGGCCUCUGGGGGGUAGGACUUGUCUCUGCUUUACAGAACAGCUUGUCAGGGAUUAGAGGGAUUAAGGAGCCUGCCCUGCUAAGCA